AGGAUGAACGCUGGCGGUCUGCUUAACACAUGCAAGUCGAACGGAGUAGCAAUACUUAGUGGCGGACGGGUGAGUAACGCGUGAGAAUCUACCUUCAGGACGGAGACAACAGUUGGAAACGACUGCUAACCCCCGAUGUACUGAAAAGGCAAAUAUUUAUAGCCUGAAGAAGAGCUCGCGUCCGAUUAGCUAGUUGGAGAGGUAAAAGCUCACCAAGGCGACGAUCGGUAGCUGGUCUGAGAGGACGAUCAGCCACACUGGGGCUGAGACACGGCCCAGACUCCUACGGGAGGCAGCAGUGGGAAUUUUCCGCAAUGGGCGAAAGCCUGACGGAGCAAGACCGCGUGGGGGAAGAAGGCUCUUGGGUUGUAAACCCCUUUUUCUCUGGGAAGAACACAAUGACGGUACCAGAGGAAUCAGCAUCGGCUAACUCCGUGCCAGCAGCCGC
rnacentral:rRNA from 1 species